GUCAACCUGGAACGGCACGAAAAGCGGUCAGCAGAAUGUGUACAGGUGUUUUUUUUUAACGCAGUUUGUAGUUUCACAAUCCGAUCCGGUCCCGUUCCCAAGCUGUUGAUGGCACAAUUAAUUGAAACCCACUUAAAGUCCUACGACAGGUGAUCAUGGCAAAUACUGCCACUGAAAAUGAGGCAGAUUCUGGUAGUAGUAUAGCUGUAACAACACAAGAGCAUCCAAUACAGGAGGAUGCUGAU